rnacentral:rRNA from 2 species
CUUUGAUAAAGAGUUUGAUCCUGGCUCAGGACGAACGCUGGCGGCGCGCCUAACACAUGCAAGUCGAACGGACACAUCCGACGGAAUAGCUUGCUAGGAAGAUGGAUGUUGUUAGUGGCGGACGGGUGAGUAACACGUGAGCAACCUGCCUCGGAGUGGGGGACAACAGUUGGAAACGACUGCUAAUACCGCAUACGGUGGUCGGGGGACAUCCCCUGACCAAGAAAGGAUUUAUAUCCGCUCUGAGAUGGGCUCGCGUCUGAUUAGCUAGUUGGCGGGGUAACGGCCCACCAAGGCAACGAUCAGUAGCCGGACUGAGAGGUUGAACGGCCACAUUGGGACUGAGACACGGCCCAGACUCCUACGGGAGGCAGCAGUGGGGAAUAUUGCACAAUGGGGGGAACCCUGAUGCAGCGACGCCGCGUGAGGGAAGAAGGUUUUCGGAUUGUAAACCUCUGUCUUGUGGGACGAUAAUGACGGUACCACAGGAGGAAGCCAUGGCUAACUACGUGCCAGCAGCCGCGGUAAUACGUAGAUGGCGAGCGUUGUCCGGAAUUACUGGGUGUAAAGGGAGUGUAGGCGGGAUCAUAAGUUGCGUGUGAAAUGCAGGGGCUCAACCCCUGAACUGCGCGCAAAACUGUGGUUCUUGAGUGAAGUAGAGGCAGGCGGAAUUCCCGGUGUAGCGGUGGAAUGCGUAGAUAUCGGGAGGAACACCAGUGGCGAAGGCGGCCUGCUGGGCUUUUACUGACGCUGAGGCUCGAAAGCAUGGGGAGCAAACAGGAUUAGAUACCCUGGUAGUCCAUGCCGUAAACGAUGAUUACUAGGUGUGGGGGGAUAACCCCCUCCGUGCCGGAGUUAACACAAUAAGUAAUCCACCUGGGGAGUACGACCGCAAGGUUGAAACUCAAAGGAAUUGACGGGGGCCCGCACAAGCAGUGGAGUAUGUGGUUUAAUUCGAAGCAACGCGAAAAACCUUACCAGGUCUUGACAUCUAUCGCUAUCCCAAGAGAUUGGGAGUUCCCUUCGGGGACGGUAAGACAGGUGGUGCAUGGUUGUCGUCAGCUCGUGUCGUGAGAUGUUGGGUUAAGUCCCGCAACGAGCGCAACCCUUACUGUUAGUUGCUACGCAAGAGCACUCUAACGGGACUGCCGUUGACAAAACGGAGGAAGGUGGGGAUGACGUCAAAUCAUCAUGCCCUUUAUGACCUGGGCUACACACGUACUACAAUGGCCGCAAACAACGAGCAGCGAAACCGCGAGGUGGAGCGAAUCUAUAAAAGCGGUCUCAGUUCGGAUUGCAGGCUGCAACUCGCCUGCAUGAAGUCGGAAUUGCUAGUAAUCGCGGAUCAGCAUGCCGCGGUGAAUACGUUCCCGGGCCUUGUACACACCGCCCGUCACACCAUGAGAGCCGGUAACACCCGAAGUCAGUAGUCUAACCGCAAGGGGGACGCUGCCGAAGGUGGGGCUGGUGAUUGGGGUGAAGUCGUAACAAGGUAGCCGUAUCGGAAGGUGCGGCUGGAUCACCUCCUUUCU